CAGUAGCCACGGGAAUACGUAGGUGGCAAGCGUUGUCCGGAAUUAUUGGGCGUAAAGGGCUCGCAGGCGGUUUCUUAAGUCUGAUGUGAAAGCCCCCGGCCCAACCGGGGAGGGUCAUUGGAAACUGGGAAACUUGAGUGCAGAAGAGGAGAGUGGAAUUCCACGUGUAGCGGUGAAAUGCGUAGAGAUGUGGAGGAACACCAGUGGCGAAGGCGACUCUCUGGUCUGUAACUGACGCUGAGGAGCGAAAGCGUGGGGAGCGAACAGGAUUAGAUACCCCUGUAGUCCCUGUCUCUUAUAC
rnacentral:rRNA from 1 species